rnacentral:piRNA from 1 species
UGGGCUAUGUUAGAUCACCCCUUAGGAGAUGC